rnacentral:rRNA from 1 species
AGGGUUCGAUUAUGGCUCAGGAUGAACGCUGGCGGCGUGCCUAACACAUGCAAGUCGAGCGGGAAAUUUCCGAUUGAAACUUCGGUCGAAAGAGGAGAUGGAGAGCGGCGGACGGGUGAGUAACGCGUAGGCAACCUGCCCUUUGCAGAGGGAUAGCCAUUGGAAACGAUGAUUAAAACCUCAUAACACCUAUUCAUCACAUGGUGGAAAGGUCAAAGAUUUAUCGGCAAAGGAUGGGCCUGCGUCUGAUUAGCUAGUUGGUGGGGUAACGGCCUACCAAGGCGACGAUCAGUAGCCGACCUGAGAGGGUGAUCGGCCACAUUGGAACUGAGACACGGUCCAA